rnacentral:rRNA from 1 species
UCUACGGGUGGCUGCAGUGGGGAAUAUUGCACAAUGGAGGGAACUCUGAUGCAGCGACGCCGCGUGAGUGAAGAAGUAAUUCGUUAUGUACAGCCCUAUCUGCCGGGAAGAAAGUGACGGUACCUGACAAAGAAGCACCGGCUAAAUACGUGCCAGCCGCCGCGGUAAUACGGAAGGAGCAAGCGUUAUCCGGAUUUACUGGGUGUAACGGGAGAGUAGGUGGCAGGGGAAGUCCGAAGUGAAAACCCAAAGCUCAACUAUGGGAAUUAUGUAGAAAAUGCUCAGCUAGAGUGCAGGAGAGGCAAGUGGAAGUCUUAGUGUAGCGGUGAAAUGCGUAGAUAUUAGGAGGAACACCAGUGGCGAAGGCGGCUUGCUGGACUGUAACUGACACUGAGGCUCGAAAGCGUGGGGAGCAAACAGGAUUAGAUACCCUUGUAGUC